AUGGUGAGAGGGGUUUGUGUGUUUUAAAUUUCAAUAUCUUGGGUUUGGAGAGUGAGAAAGAUGAGAGAUAUGAAAAUAAAGCUCCUAGGGAUAUAUAAAAAAAAAAGAAGAAAAAAAAAUAAUAAUAAUAAGAAGCUCUUGAUUAUGCAACAAAGAACCUUCCCCCUAAUAAAAAAAAAAGAAGAUCAAAAAGAAGUUGGGGAAGGAAAUGAAAAAGGGUUAGAGCUUGUGGAAAGUGGAUUAAAAUCCCUAGUGAGUGGGUCAUAAAAAAAAAAAAAAGGGAGAGAGUUGUACAUUGGGUGAGUGAUGUGAGGGGUUUUAGAUUGAUUUUUGAGAUGAUGAUAAAGAGGGUAGAACUUAUGAUCAUUUAUAACAAAAUGGGGUAGAAUGAUGAGAAUGGAUCUAUGUAUGCAUGAGUUGCUUCUAAUCUUAGAUAAAUUUUGCAUAAUGAUCAAGCUCCUUGUUUUGAGUGAUAACCACCCUUAAAUAAAAAACAUUUGAACCCAUCUCUUCAUUCAUAUUAGACCAUUGCAUACCUAGCCAAAUGAUUGAGAUCAUGUGCCCAUUUGUGAGACUUCACCUUGUGUGUGUGUGUGUGAAUCAAUGUGAGAGCUGAUUGAAGGGACUUGUUGGUAAAGAGUAUUGCAACUUGAGUAGAGGAAAAAGAGUAUGGAUAGGCCUAGAGAAGCUAGAGUAUAAUA
rnacentral:lncRNA from 1 species